GCUUACGGCCACACCUCCCUGAGCACGCCCGAUCUCGUCUGAUCUCGAAGCUAAGCAGGGUCGGGCCCGGUUAGUAGUUGGAUGGGAGACCGCCUGGAAUACCAGGUGCUGUAAGCC
rnacentral:rRNA from 1 species